CACCAUGACUGUGAUGAUCAAAACCAUGAGAUGAUCAUGACACAACCAUGGCUGUGAGAUGAUUGUGACCAUGAGGUGACUGUGAGAUGACCACGAGAUGACCAUGACCAUAAGAUGAUGAUGAUGACCAUAACUGUGGGAAAUAAUAAAACCCUUACAGAAUAAGGACCUUUUCCACCUUUGUUAAAUCCCAGUCACUUCCGUUCACUUUUGUUCACCAAAAAGCACUCUGGGAAGGGUUCAGCUGCAGGUCAGAUGGUCCGAGAGUGGGCUGGUGGUCAUCUCAUGGGUGAGGCAGUGAUUGGCUGGGGAGAUGCGUGGCCACCACACGAUCAGAGAGCUGAUUGGGUAAAGGGACGUAUCAACAGCGACACUGCAAUGACAGGCAGCCAAUGAGUGCUUGGUUCGGUUUAGUUAAGUUUGGUUAGGUUUGGUUAGGUUUGAGUUUGGUUUGGUUAAGUUCAGUUAAGUUUGGGUCAGGUUUGGUUAAGUUUGGGUUAAUUUUGGGUCAGGUUUGGUUAAGUUUGCGUGAGGUUUGGGUUAGGUUUGGUUAAAUUUGGGUUAGGUUUGGUUAAGUUUGGGUCAGGUUUGGUUAAGUUUGGGUUAAUUUUGGGUCAGGUUUGGUUAAGUUUGGGUUAGGUUUGGGUUAGGCUUGGUUAACUUUGGGUUAGGUUUUGUUAAUUUUGGGUUAGGUUUUGAGUCUGAAAAUGCUCGGUUGGUUACAAUAAAGGAUCACUGAAGCAAGCAAGGCAGUCCCUGUGUCUUCGUUCCCCAUUGCUACUCAUGACCAUGAGAUGGCCAUGAUGAUGACCAUGAGAUGACCAUGACUGUGAGCAUGAGAUGGCCAUGACUGUGACCAUGAGAUGGCCAUGAUGAUGACCAUGAGAUGGCCAUGAAUGUAACCAUGAGAUGACCAUGACUAUGACCAUGAGAUGAGUCACGUAUGAUCCUGGCAUAACCAUGAUAUGAUUAUGGCCAUGAGAUGACCACAAGAUGAUCAUGAGAAGACUGUGACCACGAGGUGACCAUGACACAACCAUGACCUUGAGAUGACCACGACCAUGAUAUGAACUUGACAGAACCAUGACCAUUGCAAUGAGAUGACCAUGACCAUGAGAUGAUGGUGAUCAGCAAAAUGACCAUGGCCAUGAAAUGGCCAUGAGAUGACCGUGGCCAUGACACAACCACAGCCAUGAGAUGACCAUGUUAUGAUUUGCCAUGAGUUGACCAUGAGAUGACCAUGAGAUGACCAUGAGAUGAUCAUGACCAUGACACACCCAUGAUCAUAAGAUGACCAUUACAGUGACAUGACCAUGAAUGUGACCAUGACACAACCAUGGCCAUGGGGUGACCAUGAGCAUGUGAUGACUUUGACCGAGAUAUGACCACACUGCAAG